GACGAACGCUGGCGGCGUGCCUAAUACAUGCAAGUCGAACGCAGUGGGGACGGGUGAGUAACACGUGGGUAACCUCCCAUCAGAGGGGAUAACACUUGGAAACAGGUGCUAAACCGAUACUGAUGGAUGGACCCGCGGGUCAUUAGCUAGUUGGUGGGGUAACGGCGCACCCAGUCCACGAUGCAUAGCCGACCUGAGGUGGUGAACGGCCACACUGGAACGGAGACAGGGCCCAGACUCCUACGGGAGGCAGCAGUAGGGAAUCUUGGGCAAUGGACGAAAGUCUGACCGAGCAACGACGCGUGAGUGAUGAAGGUGUUCGGAUCGUAAAACUCUGUUGUUAGAGAAGCGGUAUCUAACCAGAAAGCCACGGCUAACUACGUGCCAGCAGCCGCGGUAAUUC
rnacentral:rRNA from 1 species